CCGGCAGGUUAUCACGCAACAAUCGAACUUCCUCUACCGGUGUUCCGCGACGAUUUUUACUGCACAAAAAUGCUUCUCUCGAGGCACGUUAAACUAGCGACGGACAUGUUAAGACUUUCGUCCCGUUUCGGUGUGGCCUCCUUCACCAGACAGUGUUCCACCAAACCGGAAGCAGAGCAAGGAGACAGCGAAGAGAAGAGCGUUAUUCUACGCACGAACCUGUUCGAAACGACCAAAAACAAGGACAAACACACGUACCUGGAGAUGGUGAAGAUCUUCGAGAGCCGCAGCGUGCACCGGAGAAAUCACGUGGAGUUUAUCUACGCUGCCCUCAAGCACAUGGAAGCGUUCGGAGUCCACAAGGACCUCGCCGUGUACAAGGCACUGAUUGAUGUGAUGCCAAAGGGUAAGUUCGUGCCGACCAACCUCUUCCAGGCCGAGUUUAUGCACUACCCGCGCCAACAGCAGUGCAUCAUUGACCUGCUGGAACAGAUGGAGGACAAUGGUGUUAUGCCGGACUACGAGAUGGAGGCGAUGUUGGUGAACGUGUUCGGCCGGAAGGGCCAUCCCGUGCGCAAGUACUGGCGCAUGAUGUACUGGAUGCCCAAGUUUAAAAACCUCUCGCCUUGGCUGCUACCUAACCCGGUACCGAACGAUGCGCUCGAACUGGCCCGGUUAGCCGUGGAACGAAUGUGCAGUGUUGAUCCGCGCAGUAAGAUCGAUGUGUUUGAUACGAAAACAGUAGAGGAUGCUAUCGACCAUACGUGGAUAGUGAGCGGACAGAGUGCCGAGCAGAGCGAGUUGCUGGCGGCACACGAUAAGCAGGAUCCACUGUACAUUGAGGGACCGUUUGUGAUAUGGUUGCGCAACCGUUCGAUCAACUAUUUCAUCCUCAAAAGUGCUCCCAAACCCCUACCUCCGCUAGAGGAAGAAAGUAGCGAUCCGGACGAUGUGAGCAACCUGAAAAUACCAUACCUUGGGUUGGAUUUGCGGCACAGGAAGGUCUCGCCAUCCGCAUCAUCACAGUUGAGCACACUGCGGAGGUCCGUUCAUGUCCAGGAUGACGGUAUCAUUUACGCGAUUUGCUGCACCGGAAUGUCGACGAAAGAUUCACUCCUCUCGUGGAUACGGCUACUAGAGAAGGAGAACGGUAACGCGGUUCUCGCAUCGCUUGCCGUGCUGUUUAAGUUUACCUCACCAUCCGCCGAUCUAGCAACCGUCAACAGCGAACCGCAAAAUAAAAUACCAUCGCAGUAGCGCGAGGUGAGAAAGUAGCAAAUCCGCCGCAAAUCGAUUAGCUCUGGGUUCAAAUCACAGUAAAAUUGUAUUUCUAAGAAUCCGUCACACACUAUACUCAGCGGAAGGAUUAGUGUGUAAGUGUUUGCAGUAGCGACUGGAUGUGUUUUGUUAAGCGGGAAUACUUGUGUCACCUUCCCGAUACCUUUGCUGGUUCCUUCGCGGAAUAAAAUUCGCAUACCCGGUCGCACAUAUUCCGGGUGCCGUAGGAACCGGAACAGUACGGACGCGGU